rnacentral:rRNA from 1 species
UGGGGAAUAUUGCACAAUGGGCGAAAGCCUGAUGCAGCAACGCCGCGUGAGUGAUGAAGGUCUUCGGAUUGUAAAGCUCUGUCUUUUGGGACGAUAAUGACGGUACCAAAGGAGGAAGCCACGGCUAACUACGUGCCAGCAGCCGCGGUAAUACGUAGGUGGCGAGCGUUGUCCGGAUUUACUGGGCGUAAAGGGUGCGUAGGCGGAUGUUUAAGUGAGAUGUGAAAUACCCGGGCUUAACUUGGGUGCUGCAUUUCAAACUGGAUAUCUAGAGUGCAGGAGAGGAGAAUGGAAUUCCUAGUGUAGCGGUGAAAUGCGUAGAGAUUAGGAAGAACACCAGUGGCGAAGGCGAUUCUCUGGACUGUAACUGACGCUGAGGCACGAAAGGCGUGGGUAGCAAAC